GCCGCAGGGCAGACAGGAGGCUAACACAUUGAGCAAACUCCUGACGACCCACAAAGGAGGCGGUGGCUGCUUUGUCAGUAUUUUCCCAGCCUACCCUCUGACCUUCUAAAAAGCUACAGCCGCGAGCUUCCCAGUUCUAAUGGAAAAUCCCAGCACCACUUUCUACAGGGGCAGCCAUCAAUCAGGCCUCCGACCUCCACAGAGCUGAGAGAAACCGGCCACUGAGCACAGCUGAGGGAGCCCGGCACUGUGAGACCAGAGAAAUCCAAGAGACAAAGCCCAGAGUAGGCACUGAGAACCAGCCAGAGACCAGAGGUGAUUAAGGGUUCAAUACCACAAUGGCAGAACAAAGGCAUGGUGACAGGAACAACCGAGAGCUCACAUCUUGAUCCACAAAUAGGAGGCAGAGAUACUGGGAAUGGCACUGACAUCUGAAACCUCAAAGCCUGCCCUCAGUGAGAAGCCUCCUCCAACAAGACCACAUCUCCUAAUCCUUCCCAAACAGCUCCACCAACUGAGGACCAAGCAUUCAACUGUAUGAACCUGUGGCGGGCAUUAUCAAACCAUCUUAAAUAACAGGUGGCUCUCUCUAGCCAGGCGCUGAUGACAGCAUCCUGAAGCCUCUGGCCCGGUCUGUUCCUCUGCUUGCAUCCUCCUCAUGUCUUUAGAGUGGAAGUGGAUGGCCCAGAAACCUUGGAGAUCUGCACCAAGAUGACCAGACUGGCUAGUGUUCAGGUCUCUCCAGACUUUGCUGGACGGGAGACCUGGAGCCAGCAUGGUUGGCCUCAUCCGUGGAUGUCCACUCAGAGGACACCUCUAAAUGACUGGUUCCCAGAGCCAACGGAAGUCAUCCAAACACCAGCUUUCUGCAGGACACUACCCAGUCACCCUCAGCGAGGCUGGCAUCAGUCCUUCCAUCCCUACCACGAUGACACUGCAGGGUAGUGCAGCCUGGGACAGUCCAGAGCCCCAGAUCAGGACCACACAGACUCACUCACUCGGCGUUCAGCUGGCUGUGAGCCUCCCUUACUGCUGUGCUGGUGUGUGGGCCACUGUGACAGGCGCUUAGACACCUCCAAGCAGGGAACCCAUCCAUCCCAAGAUAUCCCAUCUGUGGUUGGAAAGCU